rnacentral:lncRNA from 1 species
UCUAUUUAUAUGAUUAUGUGGUGUGUUGUUAUUUUAUUAAGUGGUGUUAUUUUAUUAUUUAAUAGAAUGACAUUUGAAAUAAAAUAAGAUUAAGUUGUGGGGGCUGUUUUGCGAAUUUAGAGAGUUUAAUAGAAUAAGUGAGAAUUAGGAUUUAAUUGGAGCUUUGGGGUUAAAUGAGAAUUAAGUGAAUUAAGUGGGAG